AUUGACCUCGGAUCAGGUAGGGAUACCCGCUGAACUUAAGCAUAUCAAUAGCCGGGAGGAAUAC
rnacentral:rRNA from 1 species